AAUAGAUACCCGGGUAGUCCACGCCCUAAACGAUGUCAACUAGCUGUUGGGGGCUUCGGCUCUUGGUAGCGCAGCUAACGCGUGAAGUUGACCGCCUGGGGAGUACGGUCGCAAGAUUAAAACUCAAAGGAAUUGACGGGGACCCGCACAAGCGGUGGAUGAUGUGGAUUAAUUCGAUGCAACGCGAAAAACCUUACCUACCCUUGACAUGUCUGGAAUGCCGAAGAGAUUUGGCAGUGCUCGCAAGAGAACUGGAACACAGGUGCUGCAUGGCUGUCGUCAGCUCGUGUCGUGAGAUGUUGGGUUAAGUCCCGCAACGAGCGCAACCCUUGUCAUUAGUUGCUACGAAAGGGCACUCUAAUGAGACUGCCGGUGACAAACCGGAGGAAGGUGGGGAUGACGUCAAGUCCUCAUGGCCCUUAUGGGUAGGGCUUCACACGUCAUACAAUGGUCGGGACAGAGGGUUGCCAAGCCGCGAGGUGGAGCCAAUCCCAGAAACCCGAUCGUAGUCCGGAUCGCAGUCUG
rnacentral:rRNA from 1 species